rnacentral:rRNA from 1 species
UACGUAGGGGGCUAGCGUUGUCCGGAUUUAUUGGGCGUAAAGAGCGUGUAGGCGGCCAUGUAGGUCCGGUGUGAAAACUCGAGGCUUAACCUCGAGAUGUCAUCGGAAACCAUUUGGCUAGAGUCCGGAAGAGGAGAGUGGAAUUCCUGGUGUAGCGGUGAAAUGCGUAGAUAUCGGGGGGAAUACCAGUGGCGAAAGCGGCACCCUAGCGUUAGCCUGACGCUCAUGUGCGAAAGCGUGGGGAGCGAACGGG